CCCUCGAAGGUAAUUUCCAAAAUUGAGAUUUGCCAAGAAUCUUUGUCAAUAAGAAUCUUCGUCGAAGGUAAUCUCCAAAACCAAGAUUUGCCAAGAAUCUUCAUUGAUACGAAAUCUCCAAAACAAAGGUGAGUGGGCCUAAAAAUAAAGCUUUGUAAAAACCUUUCAAAAACAUAAUAACCCCUCGUCGUAAAGAAAGUGUAGUUUUCAAAAUAUACAUACUACGUAUAGUACGAAAGUACUUACCGUAGCCUGCAAUAUCUCAAGAAUUCAAUAUGUCACAAUAUUUCAUGGAUAAACACUUAACGUUCGAUAAUCACAAUAUCUCACAUAACAAACAUAUCAUAACGAGUUCUCAUCGACAUAUGUUGACACAUGAGUUCAUGCUGAGGUAUUUUGACAUGAACAUGGUUGGGUAUAAUAAUGAUUUACGCUUAAGUACUACACUCACGUGAAGACUGGCGUUAUACGUGUCACAUACAAGUCUUAAUUGCUUGUAGCAACCUAGGACAGGACUGACACCUAUAAUGGAUCCAAAGUGAGCGAACGGUGCAAUGUGAACAUACACGUGAAAGACUGACCUUGGCUCGGGCGAGUACUAACAUUGGUGCAGCAACGAUGAGCAAAUAAUGUAAAUCAAAUCAUAAAGCGGUAAAUCAAUAAUUUACGUCGACAUAUUACUAUUCACUACCAUAAAUAUAAAGAAGGUAUCUCGUAAUAAUAUGCAUACCUGUGCAUCUGUGUGAUUCAUAAUAAUCUCACAAUUUUUAUCAUCGCAACAAUUCUUAUAACGUCAAUUUAAUUAUGGCAUCACUUAGAAAAUGCAUUAUUAAUCUAUGUAUGGAAACUCAAAUAAUAUAUAAAAGAAAAGACCCACUCACAAAUACUUGCGAAGUCGUAGCUGUUCGGACGAGUAAUACGGAUUGCCGAUGCUAAUCGUACCUAAGCAUAAUAGAGACCCAUUAGUAAAACUCAAUUAAAACAUUUGAAUUUGGAGAAACAAACGGUAGAUUCAAAAUUAGGAUGUCAAAAUACGCUAAGAAUGGUCUUGGGCAAAUUUUGUAAAAAGUCAACCGUUGACCCUAAAAGUUAACCGAGCCGCCUCGACGGUCGACAACAUUAAAACUUUGGAAUUUUACUAAAUGGAUGUCAAAAACGGAAUCGAGGCAUUGCAAGUAGCUUGGGUUUUCGAGAAAAUUCUUAAAAAGUCAACACAAGGAAUAUUCCAGAUCCAUUUUCGGAAAUAGGCCGGAUCAGGUCAAUAGGGCAAAGGUUUGGGCUGGGUUUGGGCUUAGGCUUUUUUUUUUGCCAGUUGCCGUUGCAACCGCUAAAAACUACGAAAGAUAAGGUCGGGAUAAAUCCUAGUUUCGAUCAACCACGAAACUUAGCCAUGUAACAUACCAAAAUGAAGAUCAGAGAACAAGGAAUUGAAGUAUACCCUCACUGGAUCUUGCAGUAGCCGGAAAAGUGUGCAACAACUCGCGAAUUGCCUGAAAUCUGGGGAAAAGUCCCCACGUCGUCUCUAUGAAAUUCCACCGUCCAAAACACGUCAACACAAUCAACAACAACUAUAAGGAUAAAAAGGAAAAGGUCUAGAAACUCGGAGUUUUGUUAGGAAAAUCUCUGAGUUCGUAUAGAGGUCGAAAGUCCUCAAGUUUCAUUUUAGUCUUCAUUUCAGGGCUUAAAAAUGUGUGAUGGUUGUUAGAGGACUCGCGGAGUGACGAUGGUGGUGUGUGUAUGGUGAUGGGCUUGGUGAUGUGUCGAUGCACAUGAAGCAAAGAUAGCUUGAGAGAGUUUUAAGUGUGAGAGAGAUAGAUGGUAAGGGAAGAGAGUAAAUAGAAGUUGGGUUGGUGGUCUGGAAGGGUGGUUGGCCGGAUAAAAGGGUGGUGUGGUUGGUUCCUAGCCUUUUCGCCUCUCUAUUUAUAGAGAUGAAUAAGAUAUAAUGAAAGAGAGAGAGAGUUUAAAAAAAAAAUUAUAAAAUAGUGAGAGGAAAUGAGGUGGUAACAAGAGAGUGGUCCAAAAAUUUCUAGAAGGGAACCCGAGGACAAGGAAGGAGUGGUGUGUGGGCCCCACAUGGCUCACAAAACAAGACAAAAUAUCUUCCUAGUAUGAAUUUACCAAUUUGCCCUCAGUAUUUAGUGUGUUGUAAAAUCUUCGUUAUAACUCUAAAUUCAAUUC
rnacentral:lncRNA from 1 species